GUUUUAAAGGAGCUGAUCCCUCACUGGAGGUACAGUGUGAGGGUACGAUGUGGAACAGCUCAGCACUUCUGGAGGUGGGGGGACUGGAGCAGAGACUUGGUCUUUCACACCAGAGGUGAUGUUCCAGAGGCUCUGAAUGUGUGGAUGCAGAUGAAGGAAAACCACACACUGGUUAUGUGGAAAAAGCUGCUGGCCAAUCAGAGCCACGGAGAGAUCCUGGACUAC